UCUCUCCAAAAACUCUCCACCGAAAUGCAUUUUACGCAGAAAAACUUGACGACUGGGCUUUUACUGAAAUAACACGAACAACUGCACUUGCGUGUUCCCUUUCUAAUAUAGGAAUAAACUGAAAUACCGUUUAGUCGUGCACUACAACAACCACCGUCGCCUCUAAUGAAAGCGAGGCAGUGUAAACACACAGUCCGGAACAUGAAAAGAUCGGGUGACAGUGAGGGGGAGAAGAGAAGAAAGAGGCGGAAGCUACUGCAGGAGUUGGGGGACCAGAAGAUCCCCUUUAUGAGACCUUCUGAUCGGGGCUAUCAGCAACUGUGGGACUCCAGUUACUCCGGCCUGGUCCUGAGGAGAUCCUGCUCACUGCCCACUGAGCUCCAUGGCCGGGUGCAGGCGGCUCUGCUCACCCUGAGAAGGAAAGGCUGCCUCCUGAGGGAUCUGGUUCGCGUCCGCGACCGAGACGUGUUCACCACCGUUUCGCGAACUCUGCUGGGCGAGCCGGGCCACACCUACCGCUAUCUGGACACACGGCUCUUUGCCAUCCCCUGGCACAGCGAGGACGCCGAUGUCAAAGGACAGAACUGUUGCGACCCUGACUUGAGGGCCGCUUGCAAAGCGUUGUGGGAGCUUAACACCUAUUUCUGCUCUGACGUGUCACAGCUGAAGGAAGGAGACAGGCUGACGCAAUGUGCGAAGGGGGAGGCGGAGGCCAAGCAGGGCGAAGAGGGGGACACGGGGUCUAAACACAGCGAAGACUCCAAGAACAGUGAAGGAGGGGACUCGGAGUCCCGUCAAAGCGAGGAGGGGGACACGGAGUCCAAGCACAGCGAGGAGUGGGACAUUGAGUCGAAACACAGCGAGGAAGGCUGCUCUGGGUCAAGACAGGAAGGAGAAUGGGAGACGGAGUCCAAACACAGCAGCGAGGAGGGAGAGUCCUCCCAGGUCAAACCAAGUGGAACGGUUGUCGCGGCGGGUUCGGAGCACAGCGAAGGAAAAUACCCCGGCUGGGCGCCUAAGGCCAUCAGUGGCUCAGAGACUAAACCUGUGGGACUUGGGGCCCAGGAGCAGCCUGUGGCCCAACUCAAGCACAGCUUGUCAGAUUACCACAUUGAGGACAGGGAGGAACAGGCAAGCGGGCAAGGGUGUUCCAAGCCGAGUCCUCCGCAGGUAUACACCGGUCCGGUCAAGUUCAACGUCACCUUACUCAACUACAUGGACCCGGCAGCUAUGAGCCAGCUCAAAGAGGAGCCUUACUAUGGCAUGGGGAAAAUGGCGGUAGGGUGGCACCACGAUGAGAACCUCAUCAGUCAUUCUCCAGUGGCUGUUUACAGCUAUACCUGUCACAAUGACAAAGGUGAGAGCAGCGAGGGAGGCAGCGGCGAGAAGGCUAUCUGGAGGAUCGGGCUCAAGGUAGCCUGGGACAUCCACACACCUGGCCUGAUGCUGCCGCUGGAGUCUGGAGACUGCUAUUACAUGAGAGAUGACCUGAACAGCACCCACCAGCACUGCGUCCUGGCUGGAGAGUCCGCACGCUUCAGCUCCACACACAGAGUGGCCGAGUGUUCCAGUGGGACCCUGACCUACAUCCAGUCGCGGUGUCAAGAGGCCCUGUCCAACCUGCACACUGACCCGGAGACAGGCUCCCACAGCCUGCUGGCCCUGCUGUCGACAACGCUACAGCACUGUGAGGAGAUUCACAAUGAGGUGGAGUUCGAGUGGCUGCGGCAGUACUGGUUUCAGGGCCAGCGCUUCGCUCGCUUCUGCAGCUGGUGGAGCAGACCGAUGGAGCAGCUGGAGAAGGACUGGAAGCUCAUGGAGACGAUGACGAGGCUCUUCCUGGAUACGGUGGAGGGGGAGCAGGACCAGGGAGGAGAGGGAAGGAGGGAGAUGGCGGAAACCCUGCUGUCUGCCUUGACAGACAGACACCAGCAAAGACAGACAUGGAGAGACAGGUGCCACUCAAGUCUGGCCCAGACAUUACCCCCCGAGGAGGCCCCGGUGGACCGGCCCUUCUGGGGUGUGGAUGACCCCGGCAUGCCGCUGCCCUUUGAUCUGGCCGACAUCAUCAACAGAGUGGAGUCGCUGCUCUGGAGGUGGGCCCGGAGAUGUUGAAGUGUGGAAAUCUGUUUCUGUACAUAAACAUACUCAUGCAACCAGUCACAGGAUGUAAUGGAUGGAUAGAGGGAAAAAACCCACCAGCUUUUCUGAAUGGCCCCCGCUUCAGCUGAGCGAACAGACCACUGAAGACACCUUCGUUGUGAUCCCAUCAAGAUUGAUUUCCUUUUGAUUGGUCCAUCUACACCCCCAACCCUGCUCCACUGACCCCGGCAUCUCAGCCACCCCAGACCACCAUAAUAGAACCAGAAUAGUGCUUCAGUAACAUGCCAACAACGCAAAGCUUAGCGACAAGCUACUAGUGUCACAACGGUCUAACGAAACCUGAGUGGAACCUGCAUUUCAGUGUUAGCAUACAUUGUGUAACUAUUUAUUAUUUCAGCGUAUUCUGUUAAUCUCAUGUAACCCAGACAUGCUUUUAUCAAUAGAUUGACUCUCAUUCUCAGUAGUCACAGUACAGUACAUACAUAUAUGCUUUCUAUUUGUCACACAGUGUUAUAAUACAGUAUAGAAUGGUUAAUCUUUGCUCACAUGGUAUUGCAUUCUUCACUUGUGUAUAGUGUAAUCCCCCUUUUAUUGUGUUCGGAAAUGGAAAUGAGCCUGAAGUGACCAAAGAAAGAAUAACAUAAGAAAGUUAUGAAUGUCACCCAAUGGAGAACAAGAAGAAUGUGUUGUUUAGUGUUUAUAGUGUGCUUGUGCCAUAUGGAGGUAUGUAUGUGUGUGAGCAUUUAGCCGUGUGAAUAUACACGUAAUCAGUCGUCGGCCUGUGUGUUUGUGUCGCUCUCCCACACGUCUACAUGAAGGCGCGCGUGUGUGAAUAUGAUAGUGUGUGUGUGUGUGUGUGUGAGCCUGUAGGCAGCCUGCCAGUUGUUUGUUAUUGAAGAUAUGCAUAUGGAGAAACAGAGACUAGCAGCAGGGCCCCUGCGCCUCUGCUCUGAAGAAAGGCAGCACUGAUGGAAUGACCCGGAACACAACCGCCGUUUCUCAUAAUUACAGCUGUUCAAUCGCUUUUAAUUACUCUUAAAGUGUGUAGAGCACCACGUUCCCCUGUAAUGCUGCGGGCCAUCCGAGAGAGCGAGAGAAAGAUCCGGCGCUUCUGACAAAAUCCACUUUCAAAACAGCUAAGAAGGGUUGGAAAAAAGGGGGCCGACGUCAAAGCAGUGUAGCAGCCCUCCUCGUUUGAUUCCUUUUUCUCUAUCUAGUUCAUGAUGAAGUAGAGACGCUGUUUACUAUUAAAAAUGCAGAAUGCACUCCUUUUUUUACUUCUGAGGUUUUUUCCAAGAUGUUAAUGGUUGCCAAACGCUGUUCUUCUUGCUUCUUCUUUUUGCUGCGCCUCUCUUGUUUGUUGUUGUCAGAGAUUUGUUUGUAGAUCGGCAGUAGCGUUGACUUGUUUGAAUCACUCUGUGCUCCCUGCGCCACAGCUUGUCUGUCUGAAGCAAUAGGAAUGGCAGUAAAUAAAAAAAACAGUGUUUUAUCCAA